AUUGAACGCUGGCGGCAUGCUUUACACAUGCAAGUCGAACGGUAACAGGCCGCAAGGUGCUGACGAGUGGCGAACGGGUGAGUAAUGCAUCGGAACGUGCCCAGUCGUGGGGGACAACGCAGCGAAAGCUGCGCUAAUACCGCAUACGAUCUAUGGAUGAAAGCGGGGGACCGUAAGGCCUCGCGCGAUUGGAGCGGCCGAUGUCAGAUGAGGUAGUUGGUGGGGUAAAGGCUCACCAAGCCAACGAUCUGUAGCUGGUCUGAGAGGACGACCAGCCACACUGGGACUGAGACACGGCCCAGACUCCUACGGGAGGCAGCAGUGGGGAAUUUUGGACAAUGGGGGCAACCCUGAUCCAGCAAUGCCGCGUGCAGGAAGAAGGCCUUCGGGUUGUAAACUGCUUUUGUACGGAACGAAACGGUCUGGGUUAAUACCCUGGGCUAAUGACGGUACCGUAAGAAUAAGCACCGGCUAACUACGUGCCAGCAGCCGCCGUAAAAC
rnacentral:rRNA from 1 species